rnacentral:rRNA from 1 species
GUCGAACGGCAGCGCGGACUUCGGUCUGGCGGCGAGUGGCGAACGGGUGAGUAAUGUAUCGGAACGUGCCCAGUAGCGGGGGAUAACUACUCGAAAGAGUAGCUAAUACCGCAUACGCCCUACGGGGGAAAGGGGGGGAUCGCAAGACCUCUCACUAUUGGAGCGGCCGAUAUCGGAUUAGCUAGUUGGUGAGGUAAAGGCUCACCAAGGCGACGAUCCGUAGCUGGUUUGAGAGGACGACCAGCCACACUGGGACUGAGACACGGCCCAGACUCCUACGGGAGGCAGCAGUGGGGAAUUUUGGACAAUGGGGGAAACCCUGAUCCAGCCAUUCCGCGUGUGCGAUGAAGGCCUUCGGGUUGUAAAGCACUUUUGGCAGGAAAGAAAUCGCAUGGAUUAAUACUCUGUGUGGAUGACGGUACCUGCAGAAUAAGCACCGGCUAACUACA